rnacentral:rRNA from 1 species
CCUACGGGAGACAGCAGUAGGGAAUAUUGCUCAAUGGGGGAAACCCUGAAGCAGCAACGCCGCGUGCAGGAUGAAGGUCUUCGGAUUGUAAACUCCUUUUGAUAGAGAAGAUAAUGACGGUAUGUAACGAAUAAGCACCGGCUAACUCCGUGCCAGCAGCCGCGGUAAUACGGAGGGUGCAAGCGUUACACGGAAUCACUGGGCGUAAAGAGCGCGUAGGCGGGAUAGCAAGGCAGAUGUGAAAUCCUAUGGCUUAACCAUAGCACUGCAUUUGAAACUGUUAUUCUAGAGUAUGGGAGAGGUAAGUGGAAUUCUUGGUGUAGCGGUAAAAUGCGUAGAUAUCAAGAAGAAUACUCAUUGCGAAGGCGGCCUGCUGGAACGUUACUGACGCUGAUGCGCGAAAGCGUGGGGAGCAAACAGGAUUAGAUACCCUUGUAGUC